CCCAAGUAGCACGGGGCCCGAGAAAUCCCGUGUGAAUCUGGCGGGACCACCCGUUAAGCCUAAAUAUUCCCUGGUGACCGAUAGCGGAUAGUACCGUGAGGGAAUGGUGAAAAGUACCGCGGGAGCGGAGUGAAAUAGUACCUGAAACCGUGUGCCUACAAGCCGUGGGAGCGUCGC
rnacentral:rRNA from 1 species